rnacentral:rRNA from 1 species
AUUAGCCGGUGCUUNNUCUGUACGGUAACGUCAAAACAAUCACGUUAUUAAGUAACUAGCCCUUCCUCCCAACUUAAAGUGCUUUACAAUCCGAAGACCUUCUUCACACACAGCGGCAUGGCCUGGAUCAUNAGCUUUCAGCCCAUUAGUCCAAUAUUCCCCACUGCCUGCCUCCCAGUAGGA